AACGAACGCUGGCGGCAUGCCUAACACAUGCAAGUCGAACGAAGCCUUCGGGCUUAGUGGCGCACGGGUGCGUAACGCGUGGGAAUCUGCCCUUGGGUUCGGAAUAACAGUUAGAAAUGACUGCUAAUACCGAAUGAUGUCUUCGGACCAAAAGAUUUAUCGCCCAAGGAUGAGCCCGCGUCGGAUUAGCUAGUUGGUGAGGUAAAGGCUCACCAAGGCGACGAUCCGUAGCUGGUCUGAGAGGAUGAUCAGCCACACUGGGACUGAGACACGGCCCAGACUCCUACGGGAGGCAGCAGUGGGGAAUAUUGGACAAUGGGCGAAAAGGCCUGAUCCAGCAAUGCCGCGUGAGUGAUGAAGG
rnacentral:rRNA from 1 species